ACCAUCAUCGUCCAGCGGUUUAGGAUAUCAGAUUUUCAAGCAAUUGAAAGGACUCUGAAGACCGGGGUUCGAACCCCCGUGAUGGUG